rnacentral:lncRNA from 10 species
UUUGAAUCCAUUGUAUAUUUCAAUAUUUCGAACCAUGAUCAGCUCACUAUUUCCUGAGCUGGAACUUGCUAACUUCUAUGAUCGUUUUUUCAUGAAAGUUGAGAAGGCCGGGCCUUGGCCUUUUGUUUCUUCAUGAGAAGGUGUGACACUGCCUAUAAAUGUUUCUUACUGUGAAACACUCUGAAUGUGAGGCUGUAGUCAGGGUUGUUUCUGGUACUCGUGUCUAAAUCAGGGUAUUUGACAAUCUCAGAUGAUGCUACUGCCUAUGUGCCAGUUAGUUCAUCUUCCUACCAAGAUCAUGAAUGGCACCACACUAUCCACUAGCUGUACAAUUUACAGAGAAGCACAAGAUUCAUCUUGUCACCUACAAUUCGUCUUGAACAUGUUCAUAUUUAGUAACAGGCGCCCGCCACCACGCCCAGCUAAUUUUUUUUUUGUAUUUUUAGUAGAGACACGGUUUCACCAUGUUAGCCAGGAUGGUCUCGAU